rnacentral:rRNA from 1 species
AGCAGCCGCGGUAAUUCCAGCUCCAAUAGCGUAUAUUAAAGUUGUUGCAGUUAAAAAGCUCGUAGUUGAAUUUCGAGACCGGCUUACUGGUCGUGCUUUUGUGCGUACUGGUAUAAUCGGUUUCUCCUUUCUGACGAACUAUAAUGCCAUUAAUUUGGUGUUAUAGGGAAUCAGGACUGUUACUUUGAAAAAAUUAGAGUGUUUAAAGCAGGCUCACGCUUGAAUACAUUAGCAUGGAAUAACGGAAUAGGACGUUUGAUUCUAUUUUGUUGGUUUCUAGGAUCGACGUAAUGAUUAAUAGGGAUAGUUGGGGGCAUUAGUAUUCAAUUGUCAGAGGUGAAAUUCUUGGAUUUAUUGAAGACUAACUACUGCGAAAGCAUUUGCCAAGGAUGUUUUCAUUAAUCAAGAACGAAAGUUAGGGGAUCGAAGACGAUCAGAUACCGUCGUAGUCUUAACCAUAAACUAUGCCGACUAGGGAUCGGAUGAUGUUAAUUUUUAAUGACUCAUUCGGCGCCUUACG